AAUCAAACAGACAAGUUAAAGCUUUAAACGGGAUCUAUCAUACAAAAUUUACAUCUUCCAUGUUUUUCUAGUUUCUUUGGGUCUCUAUUUCUUCUGCAAACAGCCCAACCACUCAAAGGUCCAGUUUUAUGCUUCCUUGAACAAGCUAUAGGUCUGUGGGCUAUACAAGGCAUGUUCAUUUCUUCUUGUUUGAUACAUAAAACCAUUCUCAGAUAUUGAGAUUUCACCUGACCAGUUCAGCCUUUUUUGAGCUCAUUAAGGAAUGCACUGUUUUAUGGCUAUAUCACGAUUAUGCAAAUGAGCUGAUUAUGAGCUGAAAUUAUUAUGCAAAGGUGAAGCACUGCACUGCCUCAACCUGCUCUUCUUUCAUGUAUGUCAACAGGUAAUGUGUAAAUUGAGUAAAUAUAAAAAUGUUGAAAUUACCAAUAAAAUUAAAACUUCUAGAAAAUUCAAGUGGACAAAUUGAUUUUCUCUCAUCAUUCGGUUCAUUCUGGCUGUUUCGGAGGAAAAAAGAUUUUUUUGACAACCGUUCCUUCUUGUUUUGGAUGCUGUGUGGUCGGACUAAUUUUUGGCAAUAUUUUUCAUACUUGUGCUAUUUUGUUAUGAUGCGUAACCAUAGCAACAGGGUGGUUUACAACAGGGAGCAGCUGAUUAACAUCGGAAAAGCUAAAAUAAAACCACAGCUGAAGCCAGAAAUCCUGUGGGAGUUGAAAAGAAGGCAGAGCAGGAGCAAAGAGGAGAGAGAGAAAGAGGAAGUUGGAGUUGAAGAUGCCAUCAUACACCUGCUUCAACAAACCCACCGUCAUCCGGACAGUGUCAUCAGCUUCGUUGUUGCUAAGAUACAGACACAAAACCCUAACGCAUUUGUGGAAAUAUCUGGGGAUGUUAAUCAGGCCUCACUUUCUUCAACACUGGCAACGUUUCACCAGUUUGUCAGCUGCUCCACUGGGGAAAACAAGAUUUUGGAUUUGUUUUAUGCUAAUGUCAAGGUCAAUGUCAAUAUGUCUCCAAACCAAGACCUCCUUUAGGGAAAUCAGACCACAAUUUUCUUUUUCUCUGCUCUGAAUGCAAACCCCUGGUGAAGAGACGACCUGUUAGGAAAUGGUCACAUGAAGCAGAAGAGGCCCUCCAAGCUUGUUUUGAAGCAGCUGAUUUAACUACUCUCUGCCAGCCACAUGGAGAUGACAUCAGUGCCAUGACUGAGUGUGUGACUACGAGGGAUGCUCCGAUCAGGUUUUUUGCUGCCAAUUCCGAUACCGAUCACCCAUGAGGCCGAUCUUUGCCGAUCACCUGGAUUGGCUGUUAAUUUUUCGUUUUAGGUAUAAAUACUGCUACGUGAUCUGGCAAUAAAUUCACCUAAUUUAGACAUAAAUUACAAAAUAUUUGCAGGCACAACACAGCAGCUAUUCAGUCAAAAGGACAACUGAAAGACCUGCAAUCAGUAAAAUAAUAUUUAACAGAAGAUCCUCAGUACCAUAAAUUAUGCAUAUGUUGUACAGGGAAAAAUAUGAUUGUGUUUCUAUUUUUACUUUUGUUGUGCUUUGCAUGCUUGGGGUUUGUUUUUUCUUUUUUCCCGUUAACAAUCCAAACGCACUGGACUGAAGGUGCUUGUCUAGGGAGGCGCAGCGCACUAAUUGGCCGCCGAUACAGGUGUCAGCAGAGGCUGAUUAAAGCCAAAAUAAAAGAAGCCUGGAUGGAAGGAGGCGGAGAGGGAAAACUACCUGUUUCUGUAGGCUACAGAAACCGACACGCUGCAGAGCGAGGGGAAGACGGAAUCUGCACGUCAGGCGCAGAAGACCGGGAGCUGAAUAAACGGCCCAGUACAGAGGAUUAGGGCAGAGGAGAACCUCUGCCUGCGCCUCUGGAUCGGGCGGAAGAGGGGCGUUGCACGCCGAAGAGUGGAGCGGUGCUGAAGCGUCGUGCAGUCAGCUGGGGAUCGGCAACGGAGUGCGCUGCAGACGGAUUACCUCCUCCAGAAGCAACCUAAGAAGCGGAGCCCAGCCCGUGGCCUCGGAUUGGUGACUUUUAUUAAGGACAAUUACUGAGCCCUGGAUUUUAUUGAGGAAAAGAGGGCGGUUUUAUUGUGUCACUGCGCUUGAUUGCUUUGCUGUUUGGGUUUUUGACUUGUCUGCUCCCCCUUGUACCAAGGACAGAGUGUGGGGCCAUAUUGGCUGUUAACACAUAAGUCAAAUAAAUCUUACAAUACCUCCUAUUCUAUUCAGUCAGAGGCUUCUUCAAAUUCACUGUAACACAGACCGCUACAGGAUCCUGCCACCAGCCAUCACCGUCUACCGUAACGCUUUGAAAAAUCUGAAUUAAUGAGCUACAACAUUUAAUUUACCUUUGGGAUCAAUAAAGUAUUGUUGAAUUUGAAUUUUGUAUAGUCUAUAGAUGUAUCCUAUCCUGUUCAAGGAAGCAUAAUAAAACCUUUAUAAUCUAA